UUAAUACCGCAUAACAAGGGAUCUCCGCAUGAAGGUUCCUUCAAAGAUUUAUCGCUGUGAGAUGGACCCGCGUCUGAUUAGCUAGUUGGCAGGGUAACGGCCUACCAAGGCGACGAUCAGUAGCCGGCUUGAGAGAGUGAACGGCCACAUUGGGACUGAGACACGGCCCAGACUCCUACGGGAGGCAGCAGUGGGGAAUAUUGCACAAUGGGGGAAACCCUGAUGCAGCGACGCCGCGUGAGUGAAGAAGUAUUUCGGUAUGUAAAGCUCUAUCAGCAGGGAAGAUAAUGACAAAACCUGAUUAAGAAGCCCCGGCUAAGUACAUGCCAGCAGCCGCGGUAAUACGUAGGGGGCAAGCGUUAUCCGGAUUUACUGGGUGUAAAGGGAGCGUAGGUGGCAGGGCAAGUCAGAUGUGAAAACCCGGGGCUCAACCCCGGGAUUGCAUUUGAAACUGUCCGGCUGGAGUGCAGGAGAGGUAAGUGGAAUUCCUAGUGUAGCGGUGAAAUGCAUAGAUAUUAGAAGGAACACCAGUGGCGAAGGCGGCUUACUGGACUGUAACUGACACUGNGGCUCGAAAGCGUGGGGAGCCUAAAAGGUUNNNUCCCCUNNUNNUCCNCNCCNUNAACGAUCCUUAUGGGGUCGGGGCCCACAGGGCUUCGGGGCCGCAGCAAGACGCAUUAAGUAUUCCACGUGGGGAGUACGUUCGCAGGAGUGAAACUCAAAGGAAUUGACGGGGACCCGCACAAGCGGUGGAGCAUGUGGUUUAAUUUGAAGCAACGCGGAGAACCUUACCAAGCCUUGACAUCCUGCUGACCGUCCCUUAGCCGGGGCUUCCCUUCGGGGCAGCAGAGACAGGUGGUGCAUGGUUGUCGUCAGCUCGUGUCGUGAGAUGUUGGGUUAAGUCCCGCAACGAGCGCAACCCUUAUCCUUAGUAGCCAGCAUAUCAGAUGGGAACUCUGGGGAGACUGCCGGAGACAAUCCGGAGGAAGGUGGGGAUGACGUCAAAUCAUCAUGCCCCUUAUGGCUUGGGCUACACACGUGCUACAAUGGUGGUAACAAAGUGACGCGACCCCGUGAGGGCAAGCCAACCACAAAAAAGCCAUCUCAGUUCGGAUUGUAGUCUGCAACCCGACUACAUGAAGCUGGAAUCGCUAGUAAU
rnacentral:rRNA from 1 species